rnacentral:tRNA from 5 species
AGCCUGGUGGCGGAAUUGGUCAGACGCGCUUUAUAUUAGAUGGAAAGUGCCCUGUGAUGGGGUGUUGCCGGUUCGAACCCGGCCCGGGCUGCUA